AUGGUGUCCAACGGGGAGCUGUCGCAGCCGCAGGCGGGGGAGUACGGCCUCGCCGUGAUGCGCCGCCGGCCCAAGACCAAGAUCGUCUGCACGCUCGGUCCGGCCUCGCGCUCCGUCGACAUGAUCGAGAAGCUGCUGCGCGCCGGCAUGUGCGUCGCCCGCUUCAACUUCUCCCACGGCUCCCACGACUACCACCAGGAGACGCUCGACAACCUGCACGCCGCCAUGGAGCGCACGGGCAUCCUCUGCGCCGUCAUGCUCGACACCAAGGGUCCAGAGAUCCGUACUGGAUUUUUGAAAGAUGGGAAGCCUAUCCAGUUGAGAAAGGGCCAAGAAAUUGUGAUCUCCACAGAUUAUAGCAUAAAGGGGGACGACAAGAUGAUAUCGAUGAGCUAUAAGAAGCUAGCAGUUGAUCUGAAGCCAGGCAGUGUCAUAUUAUGCGCUGAUGGUACCAUCACUCUUACUGUGCUUCAUUGUGACAAAGAGCAAGGUCUUGUUCGCUGCUGUUGUGAGAACACUGCUAUGCUUGGUGAGAGGAAGAAUGUCAAUCUUCCAGGGGUCGUUGUUGAUCUCCCAACACUCACUGAAAAGGACAAGGAGGAUAUCCUUCAAUGGGGUGUCCCGAACAAGAUUGACAUGAUUGCUUUGUCGUUUGUCCGCAAAGGUUCAGAUCUUGUGGAGGUCAGGAAGGUACUUGGGGAGCAUGCUAAGUCAAUAAUGCUGAUGUCAAAGGUUGAGAACCAGGAAGGAGUAGCUAACUUUGACGAUAUCCUGGCACAGUCUGAUGCUUUUAUGGUGGCAAGAGGUGAUUUGGGGAUGGAAAUUCCUGUAGAGAAGAUCUUUUAUGCACAGAAGGUGAUGAUUUUCAAGUGCAACAUUCAGGGCAAGCCAGUUGUGACCGCAACUCAGAUGUUGGAGUCUAUGAUCAAGUCUCCUCGCCCUACUCGAGCUGAAGCAACCGAUGUUGCCAAUGCAGUUCUUGAUGGCACUGACUGUGUCAUGCUCAGUGGUGAGACAGCUGCUGGAGCUUAUCCAGAACUGGCAGUGCAAACUAUGGCCAAGAUCUGCUUGCAGGCCGAGUCAUGUGUGGACUAUUCUGCUGUUUUUAAGUCAAUCAUGUCAUCAGCCCCAAUUCCCAUGAGCCCAUUGGAGAGCCUUGCCUCAUCAGCUGUCCGCACAGCGAACUCAGCCAAGGCGACGCUUAUCUUGGUACUGACCAGGGGAGGAACAACUGCAAGGCUUGUAGCCAAGUAUAGGCCAUCCAUGCCGAUACUGUCUGUCGUGGUUCCUGAGCUCAAGACGGUCGAGUUUGACUGGAUCUGCAGCGACGAGGGGCCUGCCAGGCAAAGCCUUAUCGUGAGGGGUGUGAUCCCUAUGCUGAGUGCUGGCACUGCCAAGGCGUUUGACAGCGAAGCCACGGAAGAGGCGCUGAGGUUUGCCAUGAAGAACGCCAAGGAGAUGGGGCUUUGCAACGCUGGUGAGUCCAUUGUGGCCCUUCACCGCAUCGGGAAUGCAUCUGUCAUCAAGCUCUUGACCGUGUAA
rnacentral:rRNA from 1 species